CCAGCUUCUGUUGUUAAGAUACUUGUCAGAGUGAUACUGGUCAUGACCUAGUAUAAUACACGUUGUCUUUGCGUUUAAUGGCCCUAACUGUAUCCUAGACCUCGUACUGAACCCGUUCAACCAUUUCAUGCGUGGUAACCUCAUAAGGGGACGGAUAAAUAAAAACAACUCUCGUCUCGUCUUUAUCUCACAGGAACGUUGCAGGCUGAGCCGAGCUGACAAACGUGACUCCCGACCGGGGCAGCUUCAUCCUCUCGGCCAAACUCGGGUAUUCCCGGAGAAAUUCAGCCGCUACCUGCGUGACGCUGUUGGCGUGGUGACAUAGCAAAGAGCCCGUCUCCAACACCUCGAGAAACAUGUCCACGUUGAUUUCAACCCCGUAGAGAUCCUUCAACCACUCCGCAAGAUCUUCUUUCAUCGCAUACAGCUGCUGCUGCUGCCCCCCAGGAGUGUGAGGGAGGCUGGCAGGCUUACCCAUCGUGAUGGCAUCGAAGGCAGCCUGGCAGUACGGGGCCUGCUGGGCAGUGCCAGGCUGUUC